rnacentral:lncRNA from 1 species
GGCUGGGCCAAGAGGCCUCUGCGGGUGCGCGCGCGAGUCGGCUGUCCUCACUUGCCUGGUGGUGGGCCUCCGUUUCCCCGUUUCCCCGUUUUGCAUAUGGGGAUGACGGCGAAGGUGGAGGUCACGUGGAGGGCGGCGGCCCGGCGCUGAGGCGCUUCGGGAGCGGGCUCCGCCCAGCCCAGGCCGAGCCCGGACCUCACACGGGCCAAAGCUGGAGCUUCUGCGGGGCUGCGCAGGCGGCGGGUCUCGGCCAGGGCAGGGCCGGGCACCUGCGCGUCUCGCGCUGCGGGGACGGGCGUUGGGCCCCAAGUCAGGCUGCACGGGCUCCGCGUGGGGCCGUGCUCGGCCGGGGGCUGGCAGGCCCCGCGGGGACUCCGGACUCCCAGUGUCACCAACGAGGAAACUGAGUCUCAAGACAUCUGAGGGACCUUUGCCCGAGGUCGCAGCCCCUCCCUGGAGGAGCUGAAGUGCAGAGUAGGGAGCCCCUUGCGGAGACCCUCCUGGGACCUCCUUCCGCAGGGGCCUGGGGCGCCUCCCUUUCCCUGCUCUGCCUGCGGGCACUGAGCUCCCGAAAGACUCCAGCCCCUCGCUCUCCCGGUGACCUGCUGGAGAAGACACCUGGGAGGAACCUGCGGACAAUGGGUGUGUGUCCUUGGGCCGCCAGGGUCACCUUUCAGCCUGUUUCCCCAGAGGUGAACCAAGAGUCACACCCAAGGCAGGAGAGCAAGAGUGAUGAGUCCGCUGCACCUUCUCCGGCAAGCGGAGGUUCUCCCGCCGCCCUCACUCUGUGAUGCUUGCUGUGCUUGCGAGGCCUACGCCAAAGCCCUGCGGGCAGCCCUGGGCUCCCGCGGACAGCCUUGCUGAGCUCCUGGGAAGGAGGCGUGCCCUCCCCUUCCCCCACCGCCCCGCUGGCUGGGGUUCUCUGCAGCCCAGGACUGUGCAUGUGUGCGCACACGGGUUCUGUGAACACGAACACAAAAGUGUGCUCGUGGACACUGCGUGGUACUGUGUGCACACAGCGCACGUCUGUGAGCUGAGGGAGUGUUCCUGGACACCAGGUGCAAGUGCACAAGUGUGUGUAUGCUGGCACAAGUGUGUGCCCAGGCGCAAACAUGGGAACGGUAGUAUAUGGCACAAAUGUGUGCACACAUGGGUGGGAGGGAAGAGGGGCACAUGCCCACCAGCAUUCCUGGGCUGGUGCUCAGGCCGGCCUGUCCUGGGCCCACCCACGCUCCUUGCCUUGGUGUAUUUCAGUCUCCCCUGGGCUCCCAGGAGGCAGUAGUGUGUGCCUGUCUUGCAGCCUCGCCAUGAUUUGGACAGGGCUUCACUCUUCGGCUAGGACAGCUAGAGUGCAGGGAAGCCGGCUCCUAACCAGGGAGGAUGCCCAUGACUGCUGACCCCCCAGCUUCCACUUGAAGGGGAAGGUUCGCCAGGACCAAUGCCUGUCUGAGAGCUGUCAGUCUGGACUGAGGAUGCCGGGUGCCUGGCACGGUGCCCACCUCCCCUUCCGUGGCUGGCGCUGUCUGUCUGGCCGCCACCUCACUCAGCCUCCUCUGACAGCUCCGUGUUCAGGUGUGCAAAGGAGGGGAAAGUGAAGCCCUUUCCUCCCAGGGCAGACCACCUCCAGGAGCCGCUUUCUUGACCAUACAAGGCGUAUAUGGGGCUGUUUCUGUGCCUGGACACUGCAGGGGGAAUGGUCUAGCGUGGGUAGGAACCACCAGAGGAGGGGCUCCGUACCUGUUGGCUCCUCCGAAAUCUGGGAUGAGCCCGCCUGAGUGCCCCACAGCAAGUCAGGGAAGGUAAACCUCUCCGUGGAAGAGCCAGGAGCCCACUCCCUCAGGCUGAGCCGAUGGGGAGGGGGAGGAGGAUGCUAAGGGGUCCUCAGGAAGGGAUGAGGGAAAUAGCCAAUAGCUGCCUGGGCCUAGGGCCGGGGCUCCCCUCCCUUCCCUCAUCUCUGCCCCUCCCUGGAAGAGGUCAUCACAUGACCUCGGGCAGCUCUGGGCUCCCUCCUUCCUCCAGAGAAGCAGGACUCCCUGGGAAGAACUCUGGUCCCACCCCUUGGCCAACCAGUGAGACCAACAGGGUGAAUAAGUGGGAUUGGCCCCAGGACGCUGAGUUCUGUUACCUAAGGGGGUGGGGGUUGCCUGGUCCUCAGCUGGCACCCCCCAAAUUGGAUCUACCAUUCCAGGUCCCAGAGGGAAUGUGGGCAACAAGGUUAGGGGGUGGUUCCAAGGCCUUCGGAAGGAACGUUGAGGCAGCACCCACUAAAGCCAACCUCAGAAAUGCUCCCUCUCUGAAUAGUAGCAUGGACUUCUCAGGGUUUAAGCUGAAUUUCCAGGUCAGUGUCAACCUAUGGCUUUGUCGUGAGUUUCCCCACCCUCCCACCCUUCCUCUCUACCCUCUGCUGCCUGGCUUCAAUGUCACCUGCUCAGGAGACCAUCCCUUGCUCCCCUGCAGCCCCUGCCUGGACAGGAGAAGGCCUGUGCACCUCCUGCUCUGCUCCCAGCACAGCUUCUGCUCCAGCAAAGCCCACGGGCACUCAGUCCUUGAUUCCUGCACCCACCAACCCCGCCGAGCCGCCCUCACUAUUACCCAGGCCUCCUUUGUCCCUUAGCAACAGAACCCCAGUUUUGUUCAAGGCAUCAAUGUAGCCAGCCUCACCAGCAGCUGGGCCAGCUGUGACACUGUUUGCCCAGGGGAUGACUGCAGGAGGCACAAUCGAGCCUCCUGGUCCUUUGGAAGGGGCAGCUGUGGCCACCCACCUCACUGACAGUCUUCCUUUCUCCUGGCUCCAGCCUGAAGUGUGGGCACGGCAUCCCGAGGACAGCAGCCAUGUGGCCAGCAAGGGGCAGGGUCCCAAGCUGAGGAUGUGAGCAGCUGCCUUGGUGCCCCAAUGGCACCGUCAGACUCAUCACCAUGGGGAGAACAAGCCCCUGCUCCCUUUAUGGGUCUGCCUCAUUGGAUUUCGUCAGGUUUUCUGUAACUGAAGCCAGUGCCACUUCCAUUGUAGCUGAUUUGGGCUCCUAAGCUCACGGGAGUGGGACAUCGUUCUAUUAGCUGCGUCCUGCCCCUCAACAACGAUGGCUCCUUGCGGGCAGGCCCCAAGGGCGCGUCAUGGCCCCACACACCUGGAACACACAGUGCCCCACACCUGGAACAGCCUGGAGGAGCUUGUGAGGCAUGAGGGCGCGGGAGCCACACUCUCAGGUGCCUGUUUUCCACAUGUCCCCAUGCAGCCCGGGCUUCCAACCACAUCUUAAAAAAUAAAAAGACGAGGAGGAGAAGAAACUUUGGUCCUAACACCAGACUAAGCCCUGUCUUGCUGUGUGAUGCUCAGCCUGAGGCACACCUUCUCUAGGCUUGUUCACCAAAGCCGCAAUGCAGGGGCAGAGCGGUCAUGAGGCCUGCCCAAGAGUGAGGUUGGUAAAGGGCUGGGCAGAACCAAGGGCAUGGGGUGUGUGGGAGGGUGGCGGUCCAUUCCCUUGUCACCCACGCAGAGGCAGUGUCAUGAGGGGACACGUGGGAGUCUCUGGGAAGGGCCUGACACAGCCCCAGCACAGGACAGUGGUCUGACCAUUCAAGACUCAGUCUGCGUCAUCAGAGACCAGGCUCUUAGAAACCAACUCCAUCCUGAUGUGCAUAACAGCCUCCCAAGGUGUUUAACAUGGAGCAGGAGUGACAAAAAGAAAAAUGAAGUAAAAGAAUAGAAAAUCCA